rnacentral:siRNA from 1 species
GUAGAUUAUGAGUACUCGAGGAUG